rnacentral:rRNA from 1 species
ACAGAGGUGUCGAGAGUUGUUCGGAUUUACUGGGCGUAAAGGGUGCGUAGGCGGAUCCGUGUGUCGGAUGUGAAAUCUCCCGGCUUAACUGGGAAACUGCAUCUGAAACUACGGUUCUCGAGUUCAGGAGAGGAUGGCGGAAUUCUCGGUGUAGCGGUGAAAUGCAUAUAUAUCGAGAGGAACACCCGUGGCGAAGGCGUCCAUCUGGAAUGAUCCUGAAGCUGAGGCACGAAUGCCAGGGGAGCAAACAG